UACGGGGGGUGCAAGCGUUGUUCGGAUUUAUUGGGCGUAAAGCGCGUGUAGGCGGUUUGUUAAGUCUGAUGUGAAAGCCCUGGGCUCAACCCAGGAAGUGCAUUGGAUACUGGCAGACUUGAAUACGGGAGAGGGUAGUGGAAUUCCUGGUGUAGGAGUGAAAUCCGUAGAUAUCAGGAGGAACACCGGUGGCGAAGGCGGCUACCUGGACCGAUAUUGACGCUGAGACGCGAAAGCGUGGGUAGCAAACAGG
rnacentral:rRNA from 1 species